UUUCUUGGUCCCGUCGAAGCACAGUU
rnacentral:piRNA from 1 species